rnacentral:rRNA from 1 species
UACAGAGGUCUCAAGCGUUGUUCGGAUUCAUUGGGCGUAAAGGGUGCGUAGGCGGCGCGGUAAGUCGGGUGUGAAAUCUCGGGGCUUAACUCCGAAACUGCAUUCGAUACUGCCGUGCUUGAGGACUGGAGAGGAGACUGGAAUUUACGGUGUAGCGGUGAAAUGCGUAGAUAUCGUAAGGAACACCAGUGGCGAAGGCGGCUCACUGGUCCGGUACUGACGCUGAGGUGCGAAAGCGUGGGGAGCAAACAGG